GAGUUUGAUCCUGGCUCAGGACGAACGCUGGCGGCGUGCCUAAUACAUGCAAGUCGAGCGAGGUCCAUCCAGUGGCAACACUGGGGACGACCUAGCGGCGAACGGGUGAGUAACACGUGAGGAACCUGCCCCGAAGUCCGGGAUAGCCCGGGGAAACCCGGAUUAAUACCGGAUGCCCCCACACGAUCGCAUGAUCAUGUGGGGAAAGUCUUUUCGCUUCGGGAGGGCCUCGCGGCCUAUCAGCUAGUUGGUGGGGUAACGGCCCACCAAGGCAUCGACGGGUAGCUGGUCUGAGAGGACGAUCAGCCACACUGGGACUGAGACACGGCCCAGACUCCUACGGGAGGCAGCAGUAGGGAAUCUUGCGCAAUGGGCGAAAGCCUGACGCAGCAACGCCGCGUGGGGGAUGAAGGCUCUCGGGUCGUAAACCCCUUUCAGCAGGGACGAAACUGACGGUACCUGCAGAAGAAGCCCCGGCCAACUACGUGCCAGCAGCCGCGGUAACACGUAGGGGGCGAGCGUUGUCCGGAAUUAUUGGGCGUAAAGAGCUCGUAGGCGGUUCGGUAAGUCGGGUGUGAAAACCCAAGGCUCAACCUUGGGACGCCACUCGAUACUGCUGUGACUAGAGUCCGGUAGGGGAGCGUGGAAUUCCUGGUGUAGCGGUGAAAUGCGCAGAUAUCAGGAGGAACACCAGCGGCGAAGGCGGCGCUCUGGGCCGGAACUGACGCUGAGGAGCGAAAGCGUGGGGAGCAAACAG
rnacentral:rRNA from 1 species